GAGUUGUUCAGAGGUAUUUGCUAUCGUUGAUUUAUCAUUGUGGAUUUUUUCAGUGGCUGAAAUUAAACCAGCAAUCCCUCUUCCUGCACCUGAACUUAAACCUGUGCCAGAAGUAGAAACGGUUCAAGUAGCUGUGGAACCAGCACCAGUACCUGCACCAGCACCUGCCCCAGCGACCAAACCAGUGGUUGGAAAGAAAGCAGAAGCCAAACCACCCAAAGAGGAACCUGCCAAGCCUAAAGGUCCUAUUAAAGGUAAGGAGAAUGAUAUAAGUAAUUGUGCUUCUUAGUGCAUUUAACCAUUUCGUUUGUGAUUAUUUAGACCAUUCCUAAAUAAUGUUACCUUUAGAUAAAAGGUAUGGACCCAGUAAUAGCAUGCUAUAAAAAUAUAUUAUUCAACAUAAUUAAGCUCUUUAUUCAUAUUUUGGG
rnacentral:lncRNA from 1 species